AGAUUGACAUAUGAAUUACGAC
rnacentral:snRNA from 1 species